rnacentral:rRNA from 1 species
GGGUUGUGAGGUUAAGCGACUAAGCGUACACGGUGGAUGCCCUGGCAGUCAGAGGCGAUGAAGGACGUGCUAAUCUGCGAUAAGCGUCGGUAAGGUGAUAUGAACCGUUAUAACCGGCGAUUUCCGAAUGGGGAAACCCAGUGUGAUUCGUCACACUAUCAUUACGUGAAUACAUAGCGUAAUGAAGCGAACCGGGGGAACUGAAACAUCUAAGUACCCCGAGGAAAAGAAAUCAACCGAGAUUCCCCCAGUAGCGGCGAGCGAACGGGGAGCAGCCCAGAGUCUGAAUCAGCUUGUGUGUUAGUGGAACGGUCUGGAAAGUCCGACGGUACAGGGUGAUAGUCCCGUACACCAAAAUGCACAGGUUGUGAACUCGAAGAGUAGGGCGGGACACGUGGUAUCCUGUCUGAAUAUGGGGGGACCAUCCUCCAAGGCUAAAUACUCCUGACUGACCGAUAGUGAACCAGUACCGUGAGGGAAAGGCGAAAAGAACCCCGGCGAGGGGAGUGAAAAAGAACCUGAAACCGUGUACGUACAAGCAGUGGGAGCAUCCUUUUGGGUGUGACUGCGUACCUUUUGUAUAAUGGGUCAGCGACUUAUAUUCUGUAGCAAGGUUAACCGUAUAGGGGAGCCGAAGGGAAACCGAGUCUUAACUGGGCGUUAAGUUGCAGGGUAUAGACCCGAAACCCGGUGAUCUAGCCAUGGGCAGGUUGAAGGUUGGGUAACACUAACUGGAGGACCGAACCGACUAAUGUUGAAAAAUUAGCGGAUGACUUGUGGCUGGGGGUGAAAGGCCAAUCAAACCGGGAGAUAGCUGGUUCUCCCCGAAAGCUAUUUAGGUAGCGCCUCGUGAACUCAUCUUCGGGGGUAGAGCACUGUUUCGGCUAGGGGGUCAUCCCGACUUACCAACCCGAUGCAAACUGCGAAUACCGAAGAAUGUUAUCACGGGAGACACACGGCGGGUGCUAACGUCCGUCGUGAAGAGGGAAACAACCCAGACCGCCAGCUAAGGUCCCAAAGUCAUGGUUAAGUGGGAAACGAUGUGGGAAGGCACAGACAGCCAGGAUGUUGGCUUAGAAGCAGCCAUCAUUUAAAGAAAGCGUAAUAGCUCACUGGUCGAGUCGGCCUGCGCGGAAGAUGUAACGGGGCUAAACCAUGCACCGAAGCUGCGGCAGCGACACUAUGUGUUGUUGGGUAGGGGAGCGUUCUGUAAGCCGUUGAAGGUGUGCUGUGAGGCAUGCUGGAGGUAUCAGAAGUGCGAAUGCUGACAUAAGUAACGAUAAUGCGGGUGAAAAACCCGCACGCCGGAAGACCAAGGGUUCCUGUCCAACGUUAAUCGGGGCAGGGUGAGUCGACCCCUAAGGCGAGGCCGAAAGGCGUAGUCGAUGGGAAACAGGUUAAUAUUCCUGUACUUGGUGUUACUGCGAAGGGGGGACGGAGAAGGCUAUGUUAGCCGGGCGACGGUUGUCCCGGUUUAAGCAUGUAGGCGGAGGUUCCAGGUAAAUCCGGUACCUUUUUAACGCUGAGGUGUGAUGACGAGGCACUACGGUGCUGAAGUAACAAAUGCCCUGCUUCCAGGAAAAGCCUCUAAGCAUCAGGUAACACGAAAUCGUACCCCAAACCGACACAGGUGGUCAGGUAGAGAAUACCAAGGCGCUUGAGAGAACUCGGGUGAAGGAACUAGGCAAAAUGGUGCCGUAACUUCGGGAGAAGGCACGCUGAUAUGUAGGUGAAGUGAUUUACUCAUGGAGCUGAAAUCAGUCGAAGAUACCAGCUGGCUGCAACUGUUUAUUAAAAACACAGCACUGUGCAAACACGAAAGUGGACGUAUACGGUGUGACGCCUGCCCGGUGCCGGAAGGUUAAUUGAUGGGGUUAUCCGUAAGGAGAAGCUCUUGAUCGAAGCCCCGGUAAACGGCGGCCGUAACUAUAACGGUCCUAAGGUAGCGAAAUUCCUUGUCGGGUAAGUUCCGACCUGCACGAAUGGCGUAAUGAUGGCCAGGCUGUCUCCACCCGAGACUCAGUGAAAUUGAACUCGCUGUGAAGAUGCAGUGUACCCGCGGCAAGACGGAAAGACCCCGUGAACCUUUACUAUAGCUUGACACUGAACACUGGUCCUUGAUGUGUAGGAUAGGUGGGAGGCUUUGAAGUGUGGACGCCAGUCUGCAUGGAGCCAUCCUUGAAAUACCACCCUUUAAUGGCUGGUGUUCUAACGUGGACCCGUGAUCCGGGUUGCGGACAGUGUCUGGUGGGUAGUUUGACUGGGGCGGUCUCCUCCUAAAGAGUAACGGAGGAGCACGAAGGUUAGCUAAUCCUGGUCGGACAUCAGGAGGUUAGUGCAAAGGCAUAAGCUAGCUUGACUGCGAGAGUGACGGCUCGAGCAGGUGCGAAAGCAGGUCUUAGUGAUCCGGUGGUUCUGAAUGGAAGGGCCAUCGCUCAACGGAUAAAAGGUACUCCGGGGAUAACAGGCUGAUACCGCCCAAGAGUUCAUAUCGACGGCGGUGUUUGGCACCUCGAUGUCGGCUCAUCACAUCCUGGGGCUGAAGUAGGUCCCAAGGGUAUGGCUGUUCGCCAUUUAAAGUGGUACGCGAGCUGGGUUUAGAACGUCGUGAGACAGUUCGGUCCCUAUCUGCCGUGGGCGCUGGAGAAUUGAGGGGGGCUGCUCCUAGUACGAGAGGACCGGAGUGGACGCAUCACUGGUGUUCGGGUUGUCAUGCCAAUGGCAUUGCCCGGUAGCUAAAUGCGGAAGAGAUAAGUGCUGAAAGCAUCUAAGCACGAAACUUGCCCCGAGAUGAGUUCUCCCUGAGACUAUAAGUCUCCUGAAGGAACGUUGAAGACGACGACGUUGAUAGGUCGGGUGUGUAAGUGUAGCGAUACAUUGAGCUAACCGAUACUAAUGAACCGUGAGGCUUAACCUUACAACGCCGAAG